UUUUUUUUUUUUUUUUGAUCCUUUUUUUUUUUUUUUUGGCAUCAGGAGUCCUAUGACUUCCAAAAGGGAAAUCAAAUGGUGCAUGGUAGCAGAUUGACUGAGCUGUAGUAGGUUAUUGUUCACGUUCUGUGGCAUAUGUAUCACCUCAAACAGUGCUAGGAGCACUCCAAGAACAAAUUCUCCUCCUUUCCCACUCUGCCCGUGACACCAGCGGGUGCUUGCAGGACUGCAGGAUGCACAACUCCCUCCCUGCAGCACAAAAGCAGCACUAGGAGACCUGCAGACACCUGAAGCUGAGGCAUUUGGCUGCAUUUGCUUUGAUUUUUUUUAAUUUUAAUUAUUUUUUAUUUACAUUUCGCGUGCAUGCGCGGGCGUGUGCGGAGACACCGCAGAAGAAGAGUUUUCUCACGAUACUUAUUUAAAAAUGAGUUUAAAACUUGCAAAUACAGUAUGGCACAUCAGAGGUGGGCUGGACACUGCUCAGCACUUGUCCUGCCCGACCUUGCAGCACUUGGAAGGCAAACAGCAAAGUAGAACUUGGCCAAGCCUUUGCUGAAUGGAAAAAAGCAAUUUACACACACAGGGAAGUUUGCUCCCACAGAACUAUUAUUACCUGUUUGAAAUAUUCACCAACUAGAUCAUUCUCAGGGCAGGAAGGGCUGGAGUCACCCAUCAAAGCAGGGUUUGCCCAAGGGAUGUGAAAGCUGAACGCUGCAAAGUUUCCUUAACAAAAGCUAUAGGAGGAUUUCCAGAGCCAAACCUAAAACUCGGCCAGAUUCUCAGAGUUUGGGGUGUUGUGGGAUGAAUUUAAAGUAGGUUACUAAUGAAUUGUGGCUUGGAUAGAAACCAUGAAAAUAUUAUGGUUUUUUUUACAGCAUUUGUCUGAGGUAGUACAUAUACCACACACAAAAAUGCAAAAAUAUACAGAUAUUCAUGAUUAUUUGCAUAUUACAGAAGGGAACUAUGGGAACGCUCUUGUAUCUCAAUUCUCAAGAAGAAAUCAUUUUAGAUCAUACUGCUCACGUGGACCACAGUCAGCUGAAACCAGAACAAGUGACAAUAUUCCUGGGAACGCUCCCUGGAGCUUUCAGCCAGUGCUCCUGGCUUGGUUUUAGCCAAAAAAUCAGAUUAACACAAACAUCACGGGUGUGCUGGGAAAGGAUCCCUCUGAAUCAGACAAACAUACAUGACAGGGCAGGCUGUUCUCCCAGAAAACUGCAUAAAACUGGAGCAGAACCAGUGCCUUUCCAUUGGUGACCUGCACACCAGGAGCUGGAGAUUUGUACACCACUGAAACAUUCCAGAUAUAUAUGUAAUUUGUACACCACUGAAACAUUCCAGAUAUGUGUAUUUGUACACCACUGAAACACUUCAGAUAUGUAAUUUGUACACCACUGAAACAUUCCAGAUAUGUAAUUUGUACACCACUGAAACAUUCCAGAUAUGUAUAUUGUACAUGAUUGAAACACUUCAUUCCCAUGACAUUCGGAGGUUGAGUUCGAUUCAUUGCAAAGGUAAAAUUAUCUUCCUCUUAAAUAAACUAAGAAAUGUAAACAGUGUAACAUCAUUAAAAAAAACCCCUUUCUCAGUACUUGUAACUGCAAUGUGAAUGCAAACAGAUGUGCUGGUAUAUUGUUAACGUCAUGUCUCAGAGGACAAAGAGUGAAACAUAAUUAGCAAGAAAUUUAUGUAUGAACCCUCCAGUGAUUUUCUUUCUGGGAUUACUUUGAAUACAAAUAUAAUUUAACUGAUAUAUUUCAUUUUUUUUAAAAUUAGAAAAUAAGGCAAGUGCAUUUCUGAAAAAGGUGCUACUCUUCUACACUUCUAGAUAAACAUGUGACACCUCUGAAAAUUAGAUCAAUAAUAAAAACAUUAAAAAUAUCUGCAAUUUAAUAUAGACUGAAAAACUAUCAAAAGACAAAGUGACCAGCAUCAAUUUCAGAAAAUAUUUUAGACUUCAUAAAUACGAGCACCCUAUAUUUACAUAAAUUAUCUUCUAAACUAGUUUUCCUUUGAAAGACACUUUCCUUCUAACAGAUAUGUCCAUUAAAUUACAUAAAUGUUUCAAAUAUGAAAAAAAUAGUAGUAAAAUAGAAGCAUCAGAUGAUGUUGUUGUUUUGGAUUUGCCUUUUUUUCCUAAGAUUUGGUUCUUGAAAAUCUGUAGCCAGCUUUCACAGAGCUUUAAAAAAAAAUAACCCAUGGAAAUGAAAAACUUGUGCACUAAUAACUACUGCAUCCGUAUAAAGAUUCUGUGGAGAGCUUUUGAGUUUUCACAUAUAAAGAUUAUACCAAUACUUGUAAAUCCCAGCAAAAUGCUAAUUUCAAAAUCUGAAUUCUAAGACACUAUUGAUUUUUAUAGACAUUAUGAACCUAAUCCUUUAAACUGGCUUUGUACAUUAAGCACAUUUUUAUAAGUGUAAAUUUAAUAGUUCCAUUUCAAGAAGAUUCAAUACAAGGCUGAUGUUGACCUUGCAGAAACAGGAUAGAAUUCUUUUUAGCUCUUACUGAUAAACCAGGAGACAAAAUCCUGUUGCAUGGUUUUUGGUUUUGUUUGUUUUUUUUUCUUUUUUCCUGAAGUACCAUACAACUCUUCAGUUUGUUCCUAAAGCCCCCAGACAGUUUAGGGAGAGUAUUUAGUUGACAGCAAGCAUUUCACUAGGCUUCAGUGCUAUCCCUGUGUUUAGAGCUAUGGGCAAACCCCCUGUAUACUUUGAAAAAAAUACCAAAAAUUACAAUUCAAUACGAGAUUGAAAAGAAGAUGUAUCUUUUCUUACAUUAAUGCAGUUUGUAAUUGUGGGAAUUUCUCCCAAACUACUCAGAUAGUUUUAAGAGGAUCUUACCAGAGAAGCAAAAAGAAUCUACUGUACAAAGAUGCUUGGCUCAAGCAGUAGUGCAAAGAUCCACUGCCCCAGGAGCAAAGUCCCUCCAGAGCAAGCAGUUUGUGCACAGCACCCACGGACACCUCACCUUCCAAACAGCCUUACAGACACUAAAAAACCCCAGUUCCCCAUAACCCCAGGCAAUAAAAGCAUCCACAAUCAGUGAUAAGCAUUAAUAAUCUGAGAACAAGUGCCAGCUAUUACAGAGCAUCCUGAUUCUUAAAAAAUAUCAUAGUUCAGCAACUGAUGCAGUAGUUCCACUGGAAUUCCACUUGAAACCCUCCAUCCCCUCCAGGUGGGCGAUGGAGCUUGGGUGGCCAGGCUGGGGACAAAGGGGACAAAGGGGACAAAGGCAGUGCCAGGACAACCAGGGGCAGCUGCUCACCCCAGGAACUGCAGUGCAAGGGCCUGGACACAAAGGGGAACAGGAGGAGCCUCCCAAAAAUCAGCCUUGGUCACUGCUAGGCAGUGCUGCAGGUAGGAAAUGUGUUGGUAGCUGCUGAACUCUCAGCACUAAAAUCCACCAGUGGAGACCCUGCUACGUAUUUUACCUGAGAAACAGAGGAAAAACUCAGAGGCAGUUCUGAAAAAUUUCAUCGUGUAGCUUGUCUCUACAAACCUAUACACAGGUAUUUGAGCAUCACCAAAAUAGGACAAUCAUACUUUCCCCCAAAUAGCUUUAUAAAGAAUAUAUAAGUGCACAAUUAGAAAAAUCCCUCCUUAGAUACAGUUAAAAACAUAUUCUGCCCUUGUUAUAAUUUUGGAAAAAAAAUCCUAUGCUCUGUUUUAUUUAAUUUUUUUUUUCUUUUUAGCAGUGAUAAGUAACUACACCUCAUCAUAUCACCAAAAGUGUAGAUAUGUGGUGUAUCCUACUGGCAGCUGAAACAGCUGAAUCCGCCAGGCUUUACACUGAGAUAAGGUUUUCAGCAACCUCACUGGGGCUAUGUGUUGCUUUUUUAUGGUUACAAAAAAGAUUCUGAUAAUGUAGACCAGCUCAUCUCUGAAUUUAUUAACAUACAAUUUUAUUAUUUUUCCUUUCAUGUUCAAAUCAGAACUGCAAAUGGAAUCCACAGCUGUACUCUUUCAACAGAAGUGUAUUUUCUUACCCAUAUAAAACAUAACCUAGAAAUCCCCAACUCCUUUCAUGUGAGUUGCCAGCUUAAACAAAAAGGGGUGAAAAAAAAAAAAA
rnacentral:lncRNA from 1 species